rnacentral:pre_miRNA from 1 species
CCUCUCUAUUGAGUACAACUGUGGAUAGAUCACAUCUCGCAUUGCACUCAAUAGUGGGGCU